rnacentral:lncRNA from 1 species
CUCGUUAUAGAAACCAGGAGAGGAAAAAAGCUGCCCACCGCAGGCACUGUUGAAACUCCAAGAUGUGCAGUGGAAGGACUGGCUAAGAAAACCCGACCCUGAUGGAAACGCCUUCCAAUGAGUAGAACUGAUUCACAUUGGAUCACUGGACUUUGGGUUGGGAUGUCCAAAAGAAGGACUGAUUUCAAAGUAAAAUAAAUGUUCCAAGACUAGGUCACAAAGAAAAGCUUCUCAGCCUUGAAGAAGACAAGGCAUAGGCCCGCGUCCCAGGCUCUGAGAGAGAAACGUCUCAUUUCCUUUGCUUGCAAGUCUGUGUGCCAUCUCUCAACUUCUGCCCUUGGGUUAUCUGUCUGUGUAUUUUCUUCACCCUUCUAGAUUGCCAGCUCCCUGAAUGGAGAUCACAUUGUUGCCUUUGCAUUCACCACAAUGUUAGUCCAGUGCCUGCCACUAACCAGGUCUUCCCUGCUUAUUAAUUGACCAACAGACUUUGUAUUGAAAACACACUGAAAAAGCAUUUCAAAAAUAGUUGACUUUCUCUGACGGGAGUUUUGCUAACUGGGAAGGUGAUGUAGGGUAACUUCUCAGCAGGGUGUAAAUUUUGAGUGCUAGGGAAAGAGCAGCAUGAUUGGAAGAGAGGCACAUUUCACUAGGAUACACUCUGUUAUCUUUGUUUUACAUUUAAAUGGGUCUACAUGAAAUUUGGAUGACACAUUAAGGGUAAUUUCCCCAGCGUGAUUUGGAUUGCUGAUUAGAGAAUCAAGGCCUCCUGGAGUAUUCUGUUUGUGUUACUGAUUGGUUAAGGGCUGUUUCCCAAGUGUGGGGUGAGUUCCGUUUUCCCCUGGAGAAUUAAAGAGCAGCACCCUUCAGGCACAGCCAAAGUGAACUCUCUUCAAAAAGUCUAAGCCUGGCCAGGCGUGGUGGCUCAUGCCUGUAAUCUCAGCAUGUUGGGAGUCCGAGGCAGGCAGACCACCUGAGGUUAGGAGUUCGAGACCAGCCUGGCUAACAUGGUGAAACCCCAUCUGUACUGAAAAUACAAAAAUUAGCCAGGUGUGGUGGCGGGUGCCUGUAAUCCCAGCUACUCGGGAGGUUGAGGCAGGAGAAUCACUUGAACCUGGGAAGCAGAGGUUGCAGUGAGCCAAGAUUGCACCACUGCACUCCAGCCCGGGCGACACAGUGAGACUCAGUCUCAAAAAACAACAAAAAAGCCUCUGAGCUGAAGCCCUUUUCUCUUUCUAAUUAUGCAGGAAGCAAAGAAAUGUUACUAUGUGGUGAAGAAUUAACCUUCUUCAAAAUAAGCCCGCCUUUUGUCCUUGGCUUCUGGAACGUAAUCUCUACUGUCUUUCUUAGCCCGAGGGAUGGGGGUCACAGUGGAUUGUCAGUGCAAUUUAAGGUGGGGACUGGCCACUCCCAUGUAGCCAUAGGGUUGGAGCUGAAAGACCAACAAUGUGACUUUGGGUGGAGGCUUUGGGUCACCCAGUAUCGGUGGCCUGGAGACUAAGAUCAACCAUGUGGCCAGUCAAUCAUUUAUGCCCACGAAAUGGAGCUCCAACAAAAACUGAACCCUGAGGCUUAGGUGAGCUCUCUUGGUUGGUGAUUCUCUCUUGGUUGCUGUAUUGUCACACAUGGAUGCCACCGUGUAUCCUUACUUUGUGGGGAAAAGACAACAGGAGCUCUGCAUUUGGAACCCUUCUGGACUCUGCCCUAUGUGUCUCUUUUUGGCUAAGCUUAACCUGUAACCUUUCCUUAUAAUAAACCAUAAAUGUGACUAUAACAGCUUUUGGUGAGUCCCAUGUUUCUAGGGAAUACCAAAUCAAAGAGUGAUUUUGGGAACCCUCUAAAAUUGCAGUUGUCCUGCAUUUAUGGACAGAACCAAUAUACAUCUUACUUGUAUUGAUUAAUGUCCUAUGUCUCCUUGAAAUGUAUAAAACCAAGCUAUAACCCAGCCACUUUGAGCACAUGUUCUCAGGAUCUCCUGAGGGCUGUGUCAUGGGCCAUUGGUCACUUAUAUGUGGCUCAGAAUAAAUCUCUUCAACUAUUUUAUGAAGUUUCACUCUUUUCAUCAAC